rnacentral:rRNA from 1 species
AGUGAACGCUGGCGGUAGGCCUAACACAUGCAAGUCGAACGGCAGCACAGCAAGAGCUUGCUCUUACGGGUGGCGAGUGGCGGACGGGUGAGGAAUACAUCGGAAUCUACUUUUUCGUGGGGGAUAACGUAGGGAAACUUACGCUAAUACCGCAUACGACCUACGGGUGAAAGCAGGGGAUCUUCGGACCUUGCGCGAUUGAAUGAGCCGAUGUCGGAUUAGCUAGUUGGCGGGGUAAAGGCCCACCAAGGCGACGAUCCGUAGCUGGUCUGAGAGGAUGAUCAGCCACACUGGAACUGAGACACGGUCCAGACUCCUACGGGAGGCAGCAGUGGGGAAUAUUGGACAAUGGGCGCAAGCCUGAUCCAGCCAUACCGCGUGGGUGAAGAAGGCCUUCGGGUUGUAAAGCCCUUUUGUUGGGAAAGAAAAGCAGCAGGUUAAUACCCCGCUGUUCUGACGGUACCCAAAGAAUAAGCGCCGGCUAACUUCGUG